rnacentral:rRNA from 1 species
UACGGAGGGUGCAAGCGUUAUCCGGAUUUACUGGGUUUAAAGGGUGCGUAGGCGGGCAGGUAAGUCAGGGGUGAAAUCUUCGAGCUUAACUCGGAAACUGCCUUUGAUACUAUCUGUCUUGAAUAUUGUGGAAGGUAAGCGGAAUAUGUCAUGUAGCGGUGAAAUGCUUAGAUAUGACAUAGAACACCUAUUGCGAAGGCAGCUUACUACGCAUAUAUUGACGCUGAGGCACGAAAGCGUGGGGAUCAAACAGG